GACGAACGCUGGCGGCGUGCCUAAUACAUGCAAGUAGAACGCUGAAGAGAGGAGCUUGCUCUUCUUGGAUGAGUUGCGAACGGGUGAGUAACGCGUAGGUAACCUGCCUUGUAGCGGGGGAUAACUAUUGGAAACGAUAGCUAAUACCGCAUAACAAUGGAUGACACAUGUCAUUUAUUUGAAAGGGGCAAUUGCUCCACUACAAGAUGGACCUGCGUUGUAUUAGCUAGUAGGUGAGGUAACGGCUCACCUAGGCGACGAUACAUAGCCGACCUGAGAGGGUGAUCGGCCACACUGGGACUGAGACACGGCCCAGACUCCUACGGGAGGCAGCAGUAGGGAAUCUUCGGCAAUGGGGGCAACCCUGACCGAGCAACGCCGCGUGAGUGAAGAAGGUUUUCGGAUCGUAAAGCUCUGUUGUAAGUCAAGAACGAGUGUGAGAGUGGAAAAUUCACACUGUGACGGUAGCUUACCAGAAAGGGACGGCUAACUACGUGCCAGCAGCCGCGGUAAUACGUAGGUCCCGAGCGUUGUCCGGAUUUAUUGGGCGUAAAGCGAGCGCAGGCGGUUUGAUAAGUCUGAAGUUAAAGGCUGUGGCUCAACCAUAGUUCGCUUUGGAAACUGUCAAACUUGAGUGCAGAAGGGGAGAGUGGAAUUCCAUGUGUAGCGGUGAAAUGCGUAGAUAUAUGGAGGAACACCGGUGGCGAAAGCGGCUCUCUGGUCUGUAACUGACGCUGAGGCUCGAAAGCGUGGGGAGCGAACAGGAUUAGAUACCCUGGUAGUCCACGCCGUAAACGAUGAGUGCUAGGUGUUGGAUCCUUUCCGGGAUUCAGUGCCGCAGCUAACGCAUUAAGCACUCCGCCUGGGGAGUACGACCGCAAGGUUGAAACUCAAAGGAAUUGACGGGGGCCCGCACAAGCGGUGGAGCAUGUGGUUUAAUUCGAAGCAACGCGAAGAACCUUACCAGGUCUUGACAUCCCGAUGCUAUUUCUAGAGAUAGAAAGUUACUUCGGUACAUCGAUGACAGGUGGUGCAUGGUUGUCGUCAGCUCGUGUCGUGAGAUGUUGGGUUAAGUCCCGCAACGAGCGCAACCCCUAUUGUUAGUUGCCAUCAUUCAGUUGGGCACUCUAGCGAGGCUGCCGGUAAUAAACCGGAGGAAGGUGGGGAUGACGUCAAAUCAUCAUGCCCCUUAUGACCUGGGCUACACACGUGCUACAAUGGUUGGUACAACGAGUUGCGAGUCGGUGACGGCAAGCUAAUCUCUUAAAGCCAAUCUCAGUUCGGAUUGUAGGCUGCAACUCGCCUACAUGAAGUCGGAAUCGCUAGUAAUCGCGGAUCAGCACGCCGCGGUGAAUACGUUCCCGGGCCU
rnacentral:rRNA from 1 species